rnacentral:rRNA from 1 species
CCUACGGGAGGCAGCAGUGGGGAAUUUUGGACAAUGGGCGAAAGCCUGAUCCAGCAAUGCCGCGUGUGUGAAGAAGGCCUUCGGGUUGUAAAGCACUUUUGUCCGGAAAGAAAUCCUUGGCUCUAAUACAGUCGGGGGAUGACGGUACCGGAAGAAUAAGCACCGGCUAACUACGUGCCAGCAGCCGCGGUAAUACGUAGGGUGCGAGCGUUAAUCGGAAUUACUGGGCGUAAAGCGUGCGCAGGCGGUUUGCUAAGACCGAUGUGAAAUCCCCGGGCUCAACCUGGGAACUGCAUUGGUGACUGGCAGGCUAGAGUAUGGCAGAGGGGGGUAGAAUUCCACGUGUAGCAGUGAAAUGCGUAGAGAUGUGGAGGAAUACCGAUGGCGAAGGCAGCCCCCUGGGCCAAUACUGACGCUCAUGCACGAAAGCGUGGGGAGCAAACAGGAUUAGAUACCCUGGUAGUCCACGCCCUAAACGAUGUCAACUAGUUGUUGGGGAUUCAUUUCCUUAGUAACGUAGCUAACGCGUGAAGUUGACCGCCUGGGGAGUACGGUCGCAAGAUUAAAACUCAAA